CUGGCCAGUGAGUGAUUCCGAAGGUGUCGGAUGUGCGGUGCGUUCUGUCUGCUAGGACAACAACAGACUGGCGUGGUGCGAUGGCAGAAGCAGACACUGAGGGAGCUAGCUGCUGGGACGCCAGCGAAAAAUUUAUGCCAAGAGCAGCUGCAGGCCAGAGAGUAACAACCUGAGGAUAAAAGCAAGUAGCUUACAGGGCAGAAGAGUUGGAGCUUGACUAAGGUAAGUCAGAAAGUACCUCUGUCCUUGAAUCACAUUACCUGUCAUGACUAGAGAGAGAUAAACAAAACACACUGUUUCAACAUAGUUUCCAUCAUAAGCAAAAAUUUACAUUAAAAGGUGACGGACACUUCCAUAGAAGUUCAAAGUAUGAGGUGCAUCCUGAAAGUAAGUACCAAAUCAUUCUGCUGCCACUCCAGCACUUGUGUUGUAGGUUCACACAUUUCUCUGGUUCAUUGUCUUUCCACAGUUGACUCUGAAGCUAAAUUUUGUGGUAUUUAUAUUUGUUAGUGAUCAGUCAAAAUCUUUAAGACAGCCUUUGAGCCCAGUGACUGUGAAGUGCGCUCUGUUAUGUUUUGUUUCAACACACAGAACAUUAAGCCAGCUGAAAUUCAUCAACUUGUAGACGUUUAUGGUGAGGAAGUGGAUGAGACAGUUGAAGAAACACUCAUGAUGAAGCAUGUGUUGGACAGCCUUCUGUUGUCACUGAUGGUAUGGGUGAGAAAAAUUCAUGAAAACGCAUGGUUCACAAUAAGAAUGUAUUUCAAAAACUGUUUCUAUCAGUCAUAAAUUGCUUAAAUUUUUGUGAAUUCUGUUUCAAAAAUGCUUACAAAAUCAUGUACUUUGGCAGGGUUUUGACAUUUCAGCACUGAAUACAGUAAUAAGGAAGAUGAAUUCUUAAAUAAAAUCAUGACUGGUGAUAAAACUUGGGUUUUUCAUGACACUCCAAAACAAAAACAACAAUGUAUGGAGUGACAGAACUCAGAAUCCAACAAUAUUCCUCCUCCCCUCCCCCACCCAACCACCCCCAAAAAAAGAAAUCAGAAUGAAGUUGUCAGUGCAAAAAAUCUGGUGCAAUAGACAUUCUGCUUGUUGAGUUCCUUCUCCAAGCUGAAAUCAUGAAAGCGGUAUGAUACUGCAAAACACCGAGAGAACUCCAUCACACUACUCAAAACAAAAGAUGCGAAAUUCUCAAUCGAAUUAUUAUGUUGCUUCAUGACAUCACAUUUCAUUUGUGCUGGUGGCACUGAAAACCUUACUAAACAAUUCGGUUGGGAACAGUUCGACCACCUGCCAAUCAGUGCUGAUCUCACAUCCGCUGACUACCACUUUUACUUCAUCAUCAAGUAGGAUGAAGGUGCUUCAACACCAAUGAUGAUGUAAGAAAGCGUGAUCAGUAUUGGAUGUCUUCACUGAUGGUAUCUUUCUAUGAAGAGAGCAUAGAAAAGUUGGAUUACCGCUAUGACAUAUGUCUGAAGAAAUGAUUUCAUGAAUCCUUUUUCAACAAUGGUACUUACUUUUCUGCCAUGCCUUGUAUAUUUUAAUGUGUUUUGGCUUACCAAUGUGGGUAUAAAAGUUGACAGUGAACAUCCCACAUCCUGUUCUUUACUUCAGUCACAUAAUGGGGAUACACAAAGCCAAUAUGAACUACCUAUUUUCUAUCAGCAGCCAUGUUUGACCAUGAGGUGUAUUAAGCAUGUUGUU